rnacentral:rRNA from 1 species
AUGAACGCUAGCGGCAGGCUUAAUACAUGCAAGUUGAGGGGCAGCAUGAUGUACGCGAGUAUAUUGAUGGCGACCGGCGGACGGGUGAGUAAUAGGUAGGAGACCUACCUCAUACAGGGGGAUAGCAUAGAGAAAUCUGUGGUAAUACCCCAUGAGGUUAUAUGAAUAGAGGCAUAUAAUCAAAGCAUAAGCGAUUAUGCGGUAUGAGAGGGGCCUACUGACCAUUAGCUAGUUGGUGAGGUAAGGGCUCACCAAGGCGAAGAUGGUUAGGGGUUUUGAGAGAGAGACCCCCCACAUUGGAACUGAGAGACGGUCCAGACUCCUACGGGAGGCAGCAGUAGGGAAUAUUGGGCAAUGGGCGAAAGCCUGACCCAGCCAUGCCGCGUGAAGGAAGACGGCCUUAUGGGUUGUAAACUUCUUUACUACGCGAAUAGAGGUUAGUACGAGAUACUAAUAGGAAGGUAGUGUAGUAAAAAGCACCGGCUAACUCCGUG